GUAAGAUUGGAAGCUGUGGUUAAAGGUUUGGAAGCUGUUGUGUGCAAAACCUUGUCACAGGUUUGAGAAAAAAGGAUGUGGUGGAUGGGAGAUCAAGUUUGAAAGUUCAAAGAAUUGCUGCUGCAGUUCUACACUGCAGUCACUGAGUCUGUCUUGUGCACCUCCAUCACUGCGUGGUUUGGAGCCGCCACCAAGCAGGAUAGAACCAGACUACAGCGCACAGUGAGGACUGCCGAGCGCAUCAUUGGAGCCUCCCUGCCCUCUAUUGUGGACCUGUACUCUUCCAGGUUGAAGAAGAGGGCGGGGAACAUCAUUAAGGACUCCUUCCAUCCUGCGCACAGACUGUUUGAACUGCUUCCGUCUGGUAGGCGCUUCAGAUCCCUCCAGACUAAGACUAAUAGGCACUGGAGAAGUUUUUUCCCUACUGCAGUCACUUUGCUGAACAGUUAACUGUCUGCUAACUAUUACUUGGAUUGCACUACCUGUAUGUAUCAUCUAUAUUUUCAUUUAUAUUUAUCAUUAUUAUUGUUAUGAGCAGAGAGACAACAUCUGCCGGAAAUAAAUUCCUUGUAUGUGCACAGGUACUUGGCGAUUAAAGUCUGAUUCUGAUUCUGACAUUCACAAGAAACACUAGAACCAAUAAAAGACUGCAAGCAACCAAUGUGCCAAAGACAACAAAUUGUGCAACUAUAAAAGAGGGGGGAAAUAAAUAAACAAACAAACAAACAAGCAAGCGAGCAAUAAAUAUUGAGAACAUGAGGUGAAAAGUCCUUGAAAGUGAGUCCAUUGGUUGUGGGAACAGUUCAGUGAUGGGAUGAGUGAAGUUAUCCACACUGGUUGAAGAGCCUGAUGGUUGAGUGAUAAUAACUAUUCCUGAACCUGGUGAUGUGAGCCCUGAGGCUGCUGUACAUUUUUCCUGAUGGCAGCAGUGAGAAGAAUGCAUGGCCUGGAUGGUGGGGGUCCUUGAUGAUGGAUGUUGCUUUCCUGUGAUAACGAUCUGUGAAGAUGAGCUCAAUGGUGGGGAGGGUUUUACUCACGAUGGACUGGGCUGUAUCCAUUACUUUUUGUCGAAUUUUUCAUUCAAGGGCAUUGGUGUUUCCAUACCAGGCAGUGAUGCAGCCAGUCAGUAUACUCUCCACCACGCAUCUGUAGUUUGUCAGGGUUUUAGAUGUCAUGCCAACUCUUCGCAAAGUUCUAAGGAAGUUGAGGCACUGACGUGCUUUCUUCAGCAUGCUUCGCCUCACAUUGAUGGGUGCCAGGAUGAUUGAUGACUGUAAUCUAAGAGACUCCAGUUGCCAAGGAGAAGGAGCUCAGUCACCAGCUUAGACUGACAAGUUUGGAGAUGUUUUCUUUGGAGCAAGAAAGCCUGGACAGAGACUUGACAGAGGUUUAGUCUGGGGUACAUCCACAGUUACAUCAGCCCAUCUGUGUACGAGAACUGAGCAGAGAGGCAGAGUGGUCUCGGGACCCCCAACCCUGUCUAUACCAAAGUCAACGAAGUGUAUGGAGACCCCGAGGGGCUGGAGCCCGACAGCCCACAGUCGGGGCUCACCACCGGCUACUUCAGCAGGGAGGCGGCGGCGGUCAGCGAGGGCUACAGCAUGGACGCCUUCUUCAUCACGGACGGGCGAUCGAGGAAGCGCCCUGAGAGCGCGCCGCGGGAGCGCACCCAGCGCCACACGUGCAGCGAGUGCGGCAAGACGUACGCCACCUUGUCCAACCUGAGCUGCCACAAGCAGACCCACCGCAGCCUGGACAGCAAGCUGGCCCGCAAGUUCCCCAACUGCUCCAAGGUCUACGUCUCCAUGCCCGCCCUGGCCAUGCACGUCCUCACCCACGACCUCAAGCACAAGUGCGAGACGUGCGGCAAGGCCUUGGAAGAUGACAGAAGGGCAUCCAUCUCUAAAAUACAUUGCACAAAAUGGUGGAAGUGGACUUGCAACAACUUGUCCUUAGAAUAAGGAAGCAAUCAAAAGCCAUUCACAGUAACAUCAUUCGAGCAAGACUUGAUGCUGAGUUGAAUGAGGAGUUCUGGAAACACGAACCAAAAGCUUGGCCAAAGAGGCAGCACAGAAGGAAGAACUGAAAAGAGGAAGACGUUGAAUGGUUUUGGGAGGGAAUUACAGUGGCAGUCCCCAAGGCAGUUGUGUUGGGCAAACAAAGAAUGCCUCAAGAAGGUGGCAUCUGUUAUUAAGGGCCCUCACCACCUACAACACUCCCUUUCCUCAUCUUGACCUUUCGGGACAAGUAUCAGGAGCCUAAAGACACACCCUCAACAUUUUAGAAACAACUUCUUCCCCC